ACUCCUACGGGAGGCAGCAGUGGGGAAUAUUGCACAAUGGGGAAAGCCCAUCGAUGCAGCCAUGCCGCGUGUGUGAAGAAGGCCAAUUCGGGCUUGGUUAAAGACACUUUUCAGUAGGGAGGAAGGUAGUGUAGUUAACACCUGCAUUAUUUGACGUUACCUACAGAAGAAGCACCGGCUAACUCCGUGCCAGCAGCCGCGGUAAUACGGAGGGUGCGAGCGUUAAUCGGAAUUACUGGGCGUAAAGCGCAUGCAGGCGGCCUGUUAAGUCAGAUGUGAAAG
rnacentral:rRNA from 1 species